rnacentral:lncRNA from 1 species
AUGAUGAAAGGAAUAUUAUCCUUUGGAACGCAUCACAGUAAGAUGUACAUAUUGUGACGCUGCUGUGGCUCUAAGGCCUACCACCUUCAGAAGUUGACCUGUAGCAAUUGUAGCCACCCUGGCAAGUGCCAGAGAAAGUAUAACUGGAGUGCCAAAGCUAAGAAAUAAAACACUAUUAGGACUGGGUAGAUGAGGCACCUAAAUAGUGUCUAUUGUAGAUUCAGGCAUGGAUUCCAUGAAGGAACAACACCUAAACCCAAGAGGGCAGCUGUUGGAGCAUCCAGUUCAUCUUGA